GAUGAACGCUAGCUACAGGCUUAACACAUGCAAGUCGAGGGGAAACGAUAUUGGAAGCUUGCUUCUGAUAGGCGUCGACCGGCGCACGGGUGAGUAACGCGUAUCCAACCUGCCCAUCACUUGGGGAUAACCUUGUGAAAGUAAGACUAAUACCCAAUGACGUCUCUAGAAGACAUCUGAAAGAGAUUAAAGAUUUAUCGGUGAUGGAUGGGGAUGCGUCUGAUUAGCUUGUUGGCGGGGUAACGGCCCACCAAGGCGACGAUCAGUAGGGGUUCUGAGAGGAAGGUCCCCCCACAUUGGAACUGAGACACGGUCCAAACUCCUACGGGAGGCAGCAGUGAGGAAUAUUGGUCAAUGGACGAGAGUCUGAACCAGCCAAGUAGCGUGCAGGAAGACGGCCCUAUGGGUUGUAAACUGCUUUUAUAAGGGAAUAAAGUGAGUCUCGUGAGACUUUUUGCAUGUACCUUAUGAAUAAGGACCGGCUAAUUCCGUGCCAGCAG
rnacentral:rRNA from 1 species